rnacentral:rRNA from 1 species
GGGGAAUAUUGGACAAUGGGCGCAAGCCUGAUCCAGCCAUACCGCGUGGGUGAAGAAGGCCUUCGGGUUGUAAAGCCCUUUUGUUGGGAAAGAAAUCCAGCCGGCUAAUACCUGGUUGGGAUGACGGUACCCAAAGAAUAAGCACCGGCUAACUUCGUGCCAGCAGCCGCGGUAAUACGAAGGGUGCAAGCGUUACUCGGAAUUACUGGGCGUAAAGCGUGCGUAGGUGGUUAUUUAAGUCCGUUGUGAAAGCCCUGGGCUCAACCUGGGAACUGCAGUGGAUACUGGAUGACUAGAAUGUGGUAGAGGGUAGCGGAAUUCCUGGUGUAGCAGUGAAAUGCGUAGAGAUCAGGAGGAACAUCCAUGGCGAAGGCAGCUACCUGGACCAACAUUGACACUGAGGCACGAAAGCGUGGGGAGCAAAC